rnacentral:tRNA from 1 species
GGGCCCGUAGCUCAAUGGAUAGAGUACGUGGCUUCGAACCACGUGGUCCGGGUUCGAUUCCUGGCGGGCCCA